GGAGAGCUCAUCCUAACCUCCAGUGCUGGGAUUUCACAAAAUGAAAAUACCUUAAAUAUGCAACAGUGUUAGCAAAUGAACAGCAACAGAGAAAAAUCAUUUCUUCCCCUUUUUUAUCUCCAUCUUCAAACUUUAAUUGAAAACAACUAUUUUUACAUAAACUACAAAGUCAUAGCCAGCAGCAUGUGCAGCAGAGACAGAUAGCCUGAGGUUGCCCAGGGACUUUUCAUUUUAUCUUUGCGCAGACCUAGCACUGCCUGCCAGGUAAAACUAGUGUAACGAGGGCUCCGGCGUCUCCACCACGCGUCAGCCCUGCCGAGGCCAAGAUGAGCACGCUGAUAACGCGGGCUGCCUGACAGCCAGGGGAGAUUCUGUAAAUCAUGCUGCUCCCAUUGAUUACAGUCGGGAAGAGCAUUAACCCUCCUUCACCCCAAGAUACGCUGUCUCCACAAGUGUUUGUAACAUCAACAUGUUACGGGAGCUUUUGGAAGAUGAAUUCAUUGCUAGAGAGAAGACCCCUUCGCAAAAUAAAGAAAUGCCAACAAGCCUGA
rnacentral:lncRNA from 1 species